rnacentral:lncRNA from 1 species
UUGUGGGUUCUAUUUAUGAAACACUGGUUAAGAAUGGGAUGCACUAACUCUCUACAACCUGCCUUUCUUUCUUCCUCCAUAGUCCUAAACCCUCUACUAAACUGGGAGGCAAGACAGUGUGAAAGGCCUUCCUCCCAAGUGCCUCUCUCAUUUCUCUUUUCAUUCCCCAGGUCUGCUUCUGCAACUUGGCUCUUCUCCAGGAAGAGCACCCAGGAAAGCAGCAAUACAGCCCCUGCACUCCUGACAAGGCAUGAACCCAGAGAGAUGUGCUUCAUCUUUAGCAACAGGAAUAAGUUCUAGACGUGGUGGCAGCUAUGGCUGUGGCUGGUGGAAGCCAAGCAGGCAUUGAGUUUGCCUAUCACAGAUAAAGAAAUCCAAGAGAUGAAAUCCAACCUGGACAACACAGACCUCAAGAUGGCUGCUGAAGACGAGAAAAAAUUACCUCAUGACAUGAUGACUCAUGUGCAUAUAUUUGGCCACCGCUGUCCAAAGGCUGCAGGCAUCAUCCAUCUUUGUGCCACCUCCUGCUAUGUUGGAGACAAUACAGUAGGACCCUCUAUGUUCAUUAAAAAAGAAGAACUAUCCUUCAAGGAUGAAGAGAAAUUAAGACAUUUCUAGACAAACAAAAGCUGAGGGAGUGUGUUGAUAGAUCAGUCCUACAAAAAAUGCUUCUGGCUGAGUGAAAAAGUGUAAACUCUAGAAGAUAAGGAAAAGACCAUUGUAAAGGUGACUUCAUAGGUAAAUAUUAAAAACCAGUGUUACCAUAUUGUUUAUUUGUUUUGUGACUUGUGCUCUUCCUAUGUUUUUAGGCAAAUGCACAGAAAAUAAUAACUUUGUGUUAAUGGGCAUAUAUCUAACAAAUAUUAUAAACCCAAGAACUCUAUGCCAGAACAUAGUAUAAUGAAACUUCUGAAUGCCAAAGUUGGAAAAAAUACACCUUGAAAGCAGGCAGAGAAAACCAAUUAGAAUAUUAGUCUGUUUCUCAUCAGAAACUAUGGAAGUUAGAUGGUAGUGGCAUAAUGUUUUCAGUGCUGAAAGAAAGGAAUUGUCAAUCCAAGAUGCUAUACCAAAUGAAAAUAUCCUUCAGGACCUGAAAACAGGACAUUUUCAGAUGAAAGAACUAAAUAAUUUGUCUCUAACACAGAGAACAAUAAAAGAUGAAAAUCUGGAAUAUCUAUGUGCAAUACAGGGUUAACAUAGCUGGUUUGAAAACUGCUGACAUUGGAAAGUCCUGCUUGCAAAAUUAUCCCUUGGUUAGCAUCAAUCAUACUAUAUUUCAGGAGGGUCCCAACCAUUUUCAGAACUGGUAAGAAUAACUCAUUGUGCCUAGAUGCUGUAAAUAAUGCAGUUCAUGAUGAAUAUAUGCUUUCCUUCUCAUAUCUGGAAUUUUGGUAUGUGCUAGUCAGAGGGCACCUUUGUGACUAGCCUCUGCUAAAGACUUUGAGUACUGAUUCUUUAAUGAACUUCUUUGAUAGGUAGCAUUUGAACCAUAUUAAAAAUCAUUGCUGACUAAAUUAGUGGGUUAUACAUCGGUCC